CCUACGGGUGGCUGCAGUGGGGAAUAUUGCACAAUGGGGGAAACCCUGAUGCAGCUACGCCGCGUGAGUGAAGAAGUAUUUCGGUAUGUAAAGCUCUAUCAGCAGGGAAGAAAAUGACGGUACCUGAUUAAGAAGCACCGGCUAACUACUUGCCAGCAGCCGCGGUAAUACUGCGGGGGCAAGCGUUAUCCGGAUUUACUGGGUGUAAAGGGGACGUAGACGGCAGCACAAGUCUGGAGUGAAAUACCGGGGCUUAACCCCGGAACUGCUUUGGAAACUGUUCAGCUACAGUGCAGGAGAGGUAGACGGAAUGCCUAGUGUAGCGGUGAAAUGCGUAGAUAUGAGGAGGAACACCAGUGGCGAAGGCGGCUUACUGGACUGUAACUGACGUUGAGGCGCGAAAGCGUGGGGAGCAAACAGGAUUAGAUACCCCAGUAGUC
rnacentral:rRNA from 1 species